rnacentral:rRNA from 1 species
ACGAACGCUGGCGGCGUGCUUAACACAUGCAAGUCGAACGGAAAGGCCCUGCUUUUGUGGGGUGCCCGAGUGGCGAACGGGUGAGUAACACGUGAGUAACCUGCCCUUGACUUUGGGAUAACUUCAGGAAACUGGGGCUAAUACCGGAUAGGAGCUCCUGCUGCAUGGUGGGGGUUGGAAAGUUUCGGCGGUUGGGGAUGGACUCGCGGCUUAUCAGCUUGUUGGUGGGGUAGUGGCUUACCAAGGCUUUGACGGGUAGCCGGCCUGAGAGGGUGACCGGCCACAUUGGGACUGAGAUACAGCCCAGACUCCUACGGGAGGCAGCAGUGGGGAAUAUUGCACAAUGGGCGGAAGCCUGAUGCAGCAACGCCGCGUGCGGGAUGACGGCCUUCGGGUUGUAAACCGCUUUCGCCUGUGACGAAGCGUGAGUGACGGUAAUGGGUAAAGAAGCACCGGCUAACUACGUG